rnacentral:rRNA from 1 species
UACGGAGGAUCCAAGCGUUAUCCGGAUUCAUUGGGUUUAAAGCGCUCGCAGGUGGUCCGCUGCGUCGUGCGUGAAAGACCCCGGCUCAACUGGGGGAUGUCGUGCGAUACGGGCGGACUGGAGGCCAGUAGGGGGAUGCGGAAUUCCGGGUGUAGUGGUGGAAUGCGUAGAGAUCCGGAGGAACACCAGCGGCGAAGGCGGCAUCCUGGACUGGUCCUGACACUCAGGAGCGAAAGCGUGGGGAGCGAUCCGG